rnacentral:miRNA from 1 species
GUUGGCCAAAAAGUUCAUUCGGGUUUCGGUAGCAUGUUACGGAAAAACCCGAACGAACUUUUUGGCCAA